UAAUUGCACUUAUAACAUCAAUCGUGAGGUAGGGAAAAAAACAACAUAUCAGGUAUUAAAAUAUUUAUUAAUUCCGAUUAAUUGGCGUUUGACGUAAACUAUAGUAAAGUAAAGGUACAUUUUAUGUUCCAUAUCCGCAAUGACAAUCAUAUAAAAUCCGUAGCCUUCAUCAAGCUACCAAAUUUCAAAACGUCAAGGAUCGGUUCACUAUGAAAAUUUUCAAAUUUUGGUUAAUCCUGUUAUUUGUAUGUUCAACUACUGCUAGACGAAAACGACAUGCUCAUAGAUGCCGUGAAGAAGUUGAUCUUGAAAAAUGCGAAUAUAAUCUGUCCAUGCAUGGUUUCGAUCACUAUCUAAAUCAAAGUGAAGUUGGAUAUGGUGAUAUACUAUGUAUGAUUAAAUGGUUACGUGAUCAUAUGGGAAUUCAUAUCCCACAACGACGUUUGUGAUGGACUUCCAAAUAAGCAAACGAAUUGUCUUUUUGUUAUUGGUGCUAUUAUGUUAAAGUUCAAAAAUGCCAAAUGACCGUUUUGUUAAUCUCAUGUAUAUAUUUGUUAAAUAUUUAUUAAUUGUUAUGUUUCUGAAUAAAAGUGUUUUCA